GACCCGCACAAGUAGUGGAGCAUGUGGUUUAAUUCGAUGAUACGCGAGGAACCUUACCAGGGCUUAAAUGCAGAGCGAAUAGUUUGGAAACAGACUAGCCUUCGGGCGAUCUGCAAGGUGCUGCAUGGCUGUCGUCAGCUCGUGCCGUGAGGUGUUGGUUAAGUCCCGCAACGAGCGCAACCCCUAUCUUUAGUUGCCAGCGAGUAAUGUCGGGGACUCUAAAGAAACUGCCUACGCAAGUAGAGAGGAAGGCGGGGACGACGUCAAGUCAUCACGGCCCUUACGUCCUGGGCCACACACGUGCUACAAUGGUCGGUACAGAGGGCAGCUACCGGGUGACCGGAUGCG
rnacentral:rRNA from 1 species